GAGUUUGAUCGUGGCUCAGAUUGAACGCUGGCGGCAUGCCUUACACAUGCAAGUCGAACGGCAGCACGGGAGCUUGCUCCUGGUGGCGAGUGGCGAACGGGUGAGUAAUGCAUCGGAACGUAUCCUGGAGUGGGGGAUAACGUAGCGAAAGUUACGCUAAUACCGCAUAUUCUGUGAGCAGGAAAGCGGGGGACCUUCGGGCCUCGCGCUCUUGGAGCGGCCGAUGUCGGAUUAGCUAGUUGGUGAGGUAAAGGCUCACCAAGGCGACGAUCCGUAGCAGGUCUGAGAGGAUGAUCUGCCACACUGGAACUGAGACACGGUCCAGACUCCUACGGGAGGCAGCAGUGGGAAUUUUGGACAAU
rnacentral:rRNA from 1 species